UAAGGAAGACGUUCAAUUCUACUGACGUUAUUCUAUUCCAAUUUCAAUAUAAGGAAACCUAGCAUAACUGAAAUGCAGUCGAAAACUAUUCUAUUAUUAUUUGUCAUGGUGACCGUUGUGACGGCUGUCAGUGUACCUCAGAGGUGUACUAAAAACUCCCAAUGCUAUUCAGGCUGUUGUUAUCUAGAUACUUGUCAGGAAGAUAUCGGUUAUUGUCCGUGCAACGUGAAGAAGUGUCCAAGGAAUCAGAUUUGCAGGUUCCAAAUAAUACAAUGUUUUGUACCACCAUGUUACCCGCUUGCUCAAUGUCAGUGAAUAGUAUAAAUUAUAAACUGUAAGGCCCACAUGUAUUUGGUUUGAAAACCAAAUAUCAUUACCGUACAAUUAUAUUGAUUGUAAAACAUAAACAAUAUGAUACUACGUAUAAUAUAUAUUUUUUCUGGCAUAGAAUUCUCAUACUGUUAGAAUAAAUAUUAGUUUUUAUUAGAAAUAGACGAUGGUUUUAUAUGCCGAUGUGUUUUUAUCUAAUUUUAUAGGAUUUACGCUAAUAUUAUCCUGAAAGCUGUACGUUUAUCUUUAGUUACAUAAUAUUUUUUGGAGGUGUUCUAUCGACUUUUAUUAUUAAGACUAUGUUAUUACAAUUUACUCAAAAUGCAUAUAGACCUCAUAUUAUUUACGCAAGUGACAUCACAAUAUUACACAUACUAUGUUGAGAAACAAAAUUUUCCUUGUAUUCGAAGCAAACACAAAAGUAUCAUUGUGUAUUUUCCGAUUGAAACGGUACAAUUUGGGUCAAUGCCACUUUUCCACAUAUUGCAAUCUUAUACGCUUGAUGAAUCUUAUAACAUUUGUUAAUAACAGUAUAGUAGUGUCAUAUUAAAUACUACAUUAUUUUUUUAUAUUAUUAAAAUUGAUAAUAUUCAUAAAUUUUAAUCAAUUUUGAUAAUUGGAAUUCCAACGCGUAAGCAAAAGUAAAAUUAUGAAUAAUCACUGCCAAAUAAUUAACUAAUAUACUUGUUGAC